AUGUUCUGGCGGGGUAGCAAAAAAGGAGAGAGGAAGACGACAUGGGUGUCAUGGGAUGCGUUGACAAUGCCCAAAUGCAAAGUUGGACUAGGAUUUGAGGACAUGGAACUCUUCAACCUGUCACUCCUUGUGAGGCAGGCAUGGCACAUCUUGCAAGACCCACUGACUUUGAUUUCUCGAAUUCGGAAGGCCACCUAUUUUCCCAAUGAGAAUUUUUUGUCAGCGGAGUUGGGCUCACACCCUUCCGUAUGGAGGGCAAUGUGUGAAGAUAAGGAGGUUUUAAAAGUGGGCCUGAUUCGAAGAAUAGGAGAUGGGCAAACUACCAACAGCUGGAUGGACAAUUGGAUUCCUAGAAAUUUUAGGAUGAGACUGACGUGUGCUCUGUUGACCAACCCUCCAUCCUUGGUUUCAGAUUUCAUCCACCAGACAACCAGAGAAUGGAACAUACAUGCUCUAGAAGAACAUAUGUUACCUAUGGAUGUGGAGGUCAUCAAACAAAUACCGAUUGGCCGCUUGGCUAAUCAUGAUCUUUGGGCAUGGCUCAAUACAAUAAAGUGCAAGCUUCACAGAUUACAAAAAAAACCUUCAUGCAGAUCCUAA
rnacentral:rRNA from 1 species